rnacentral:lncRNA from 1 species
GGAAAACACACCUACGUUUAAAACUAAGACUUACGACUUAAAACAAAAUUAUGGGUAAAAUGCAUGUAAGACUCUAAUGACUGUAAUUCAUGUUAAGUGUAUAAUUAAGUCGUGCUUUUGUAACCACAAAUUACAUAAAACGUUUUUGUUUAAUAGAUACACAAGUUAACUAUUGAACAUAUGAACUGUUUACACAGAUAUAAUAUGCCUCACCUGUGUCGGAUCUUCGUGCAAUAAUGCAAAAUUAAAUUAAACUCACCACUUUAAUGUUUUGAUUUUGCAAAACGUUCAAAGUCAAUGUACUCAAGAGUAACAAACAAAUCUCCAAGGACAUGAGAAGUGAUAAUUGUUUUUAUACAACUGUAAACAACAUUAUUGACGUUAUACCACGAUUGGUUCCUCUUUAACUGACAAAUUACCUACACACUAGUCCAUGAAAAUGAGCGGAGGAGGGGGGUGUAAACAAAACAACAUUAUUGACGUUAUACCAUGAUUGGUUCCUCUUUAACUGACAAAUUACCUACACACUAGUCCAUGAAAGUGAGCGGAGGAG